GUUCACUUAUCUUUUUAAUAUAUCAUGUUAAAGAGAUGUCAAGGUCACGGCCUUCUCCCUUGAAAUUUGAUAAUGGGCAGAACAUAUGCUUUGGAUGGGGCACCAUUAAUUUUCAUUUUAAAUAAUGUAGAACCAGAAAGAUUUUAUGAAAAUCUAAAAAUAAAUGCUUGUAGCCAUGGGAGGCACUAAUUUCCCCUCUCAAAUGUAACAGAGGACGUAACUUAGGAAGGCUUCUUUCAGUGCAUUUUACAGAGGACUAUUGUCUGGUGGAGUAUAGUGGUCAGAGCUGGAUGUCUCUUCUCAAGCAACCAGAAAUUGCACUAAGAGACCCAAUUUUCCCCCUUCCCUUCUCCUCCCAGAAGCCCGUGCACCUACUCCCUACAUCUGUGCAGAGAGAGGCACCUACCUGGAUGGAUGGACGCAAGGCACUUGGUGCACCUGAGAACAACCUGCCUAAUUUUAAGAAAAGGGUGCUGUGAGCUCAUCUCUCUGCAGCCUGUCAUUUUAGCAUCCUUAGUAAGGUGACAGGAUCCCUAUGGGGAGCUC
rnacentral:lncRNA from 1 species